rnacentral:rRNA from 1 species
CAUGCAAGUAUCGGCAGGCGCGAAGCGUCGGCACCUCGGGAGGCUUGCACAGGUGCUGCAUGGCUAUCGUCAGCUCGUGUCGUGAGAUGUUCGGUUAAGUCCGCUAACGAGCGCAACCCUCACUGUGUGUUAUAUGUGUCACACGGGACCGCCGGUCUUAAGCCGGAGGAAGGUGGGAUGACGUCAAGUCAGCAUGGCCUUUAUAUCCUGGGCUACACACACGCUACAAUGGCCAACACAAUAGGUUGCUAAGCCGCGAGGUGGAGCCAAUCCAUAAAGUUGGUCUCAGUUCAGAUUGUAGGCUGCAACCCGCCUGCAUGAAGAUGGAGUUGCUAGUAACCGCAGGUCAGCUAUACUGCGGUGAAUACGUUCCCGGGGCUU